UCUCUAUGGGAGCUGGACACAAUACAAAUGACUGGACCAGGAAAGCCGCCAAGAUAAAAAUUUCAAACUGAUAUUGCGGGUCCAAUCUGGUGUGGGCAGGAAGGUGACAGAGGAAGUGUGGGAAAGCAGUUAGUGAUGCCUAAGGAAGAUGCUGAACAUUUUGAAAGUGUCAAGAGCAGCUGGGAAGGAGACACGAGGGUCGUAAUCAAGAUGGCAGCCCGGGAGAAGACUGCAGAGGCGUUCGAAUAAAGUGUUUUCCAAAACUUCGGACUCGUUCUCCUGGUGGCAUCUGGGAUGAUUUUAGGGUUCUUGUGGGGAAAUAGAAAGAGGAGCACAGAACUUCCUUAUGAAGUUGACAAAUGUAGCCAGCUCUCAUUAACGUAACUUUGUUUACAGUAGCUUAUUGUUACUCUUUCCUUCUAUUUUCAGCAAAGGAAACUGCCUUUCCAUUUACAACAAUAACAUAAAGUGCUCAUUUGAAACGUGCUUCUUAAAAAAAACGGGAAGUGUAGAGUAAAAAUGUCAAGGAGAUAAUGUAUUUUAAAUGUGAAAGUGUGAUUGUGCUACUCCAAUAAAUGAGCCUUUGAAAA
rnacentral:lncRNA from 1 species